rnacentral:rRNA from 1 species
GUGGGGAAUCUUAGACAAUGGGCGCAAGCCUGAUCUAGCCAUGCCGCGUGAGCGAUGAAGGCCUUAGGGUUGUAAAGCUCUUUCAGGGGGGAAGAUAAUGACGGUACCCCCAGAAGAAGCCCCGGCUAACUCCGUGCCAGCAGCCGCGGUAAUACGGAGGGGGCUAGCGUUGUUCGGAAUUACUGGGCGUAAAGCGCACGUAGGCGGACCAGAAAGUCAGGGGUGAAAUCCCGGGGCUCAACCCCGGAACUGCCUUUGAAACUCCUGGUCUUGAGGUCGAGAGAGGUGAGUGGAAUUCCGAGUGUAGAGGUGAAAUUCGUAGAUAUUCGGAGGAACACCAGUGGCGAAGGCGGCUCACUGGCUCGAUACUGACGCUGAGGUGCGAAAGCGUGGGGAGCAAACAGGAUUAGAAACCCUAGUAGUCC